rnacentral:rRNA from 1 species
UUCCCUAGUAACUGCGAGUGAAGCGGGAAAAGCUCAAAUUUAAAAUCUGGUGGCUUUGGUCAUCCGAGUUGUAAUUUAGAGAAGCGUCUUCCGCGCUGAACCGUGCACAAGUCUCCUGGAAUGGAGCGUCAUAGAGGGUGAGAAUCCCGUCUUUGGCACGGAACAUCAGGGCUUCUGUGAUGCGCUCUCAACGAGUCGAGUUGUUUGGGAAUGCAGCUCAAAAUGGGUGGUGAACUCCAUCUAAAGCUAAAUAUUGGCGAGAGACCGAUAGCGAACAAGUACCGUGAGGGAAAGAUGAAAAGCACUUUGGAAAGAGAGUGAAACAGUACGUGAAAUUGUUGAAAGGGAAACGCUUGAAGUCAGUCGCGUCGACCGAGACUCAGCCUUGCCUUGGCUUGGUGUACUUCUCGGCUGACGGGUCAGCAUCAAUUUUGAUCCUCGGAUAAUGGCAAGGGAAAGGUAGCACCUUUUUAGGUGUGUUAUAGUCCUUUGUCGCAUACGAGGGUUGGGAUUGAGGAACUCAGCACGCACCUCUCGGUGUCGGGGCCUUGGCCCACGCUACGUGCUUAGGAUGCUGGCGUAAUGGCUUUAAACGACCCG